rnacentral:rRNA from 1 species
UUGAAACACCGGUUCCUGUACUAUCACCGAAGUUAAGCAUCGUCGAGCCUGGUCAAUACCUAGAUGGGUGACCACUUGGGAAUGCUAGGUGCUGAA